rnacentral:tRNA from 1 species
CUACUUUGUCGUGAACGGGGGCUGAUGAGUGGUCAAGAUGAAAGGC